GCUGGAAACAGUCCUUCCCCUUUGGGGCCGGUUCACAGGUGGUGCAUGGUUGUCGUCAGCUCGUGUCGUGAGAUGUUGGGUUAAGUCCCGCAACGAGCGCAACCCUCGUUCCAUGUUGCCAGCGCGUAAUGGCGGGGACUCAUGGGAGACUGCCGGGGUCAACUCGGAGGAAGGUGGGGACGACGUCAAAUCAUCAUGCCCCUUAUGUCUUGGGCUUCACGCAUGCUACAAUGGCCGGUACAAAGGGUUGCGAUACUGUGAGGUGGAGCUAAUCCCAAAAAGCCGGUCUCAGUUCGGAUUGGGGUCUGCAACUCGACCCCAUGAAGUCGGAGUCGCUAGUAAUCGCAGAUCAG
rnacentral:rRNA from 1 species